UUUUUUUUUUUUUUUUUUGCACUUCUAGCUAUACUCCAACUGAUGUGAUGAUGUCUACAUAUAUGCUGGUUUUCAGGGCUACUGGGUUAUUUUAAUUUUUUUUAAUUUAAAGAAUUAAUUUAUUUUUGUUAUGCCAAAGAAAGAAUCAACUAUACAAUAAUGUAAUAAGGUGUUUGUAUAAACUGUACUGUUAGGAGCGUUAUAAAUUUUAAGAAUUGAAUGUAUGUGUUUGAUAAAAUUUACUAAUUAUUACAAACAUAAAAUCUUCAAAUAUUUUACAGCUAAAAUCGAUUGUUUCUUCAUUGAACUUUCAUUUGUAUAUUAAUUAGAAUAUAAUUAAAUAGCUAAAUUAUAAACGACAUGUCAUACAAAUCUUUCUUUAAAUUUAAAAAAAAAAUGUACAAACUAUCAUCUCUUUAAUGAAUUUAAAAACGACAUGCCAUAUUUAUUAUGCUCUAGAAUAACAUAAUAGGAUUUGUCAUCCAUCAACUAACGAUAUAAAAGACACAUUUACUAUUUUAAAUUACCUUUACGCCAUGUCAUUAAUGUGAUGAAAUUAUAAAUGACAAGUCAUACAUCAAUGGCUAAAGAUUUUUUUCUCCCCUUUUUGGUCUUCCAACUUAACAAAAAAAUUUUGGACCACCAUCAAAAAAACCUUAAUGUCUACAUUUUUAAAUUAUAACCACUGUAAUUAUUAGCACAAAGGUCACGGCAUUUUCAGCACCUUCAUCAUCAAACGGUAGAGCGUUAAUAACUAAUGAGAAAUUCUUACAACUUAAACAGUGUGUGCUCCAAUGGUAGGAGCUUUGUUUUUUACAUUUUAAGUUUAUUCCGUUGCAUAAGCUGUCGUGGAAAAUAACUGCCCUUGGUUCAAUCAUCAACUGCCCUGAAAAGACUUGGAAAUUUUGAAGUUUUAUUGUUCCAACAGUUUUUAGCUGAAGCAACCAUUACUGUUAUCAGUUAAAAUUGCGGAAACUCACAAUUUGAACAAAAUAAUAAUAAUAGUGAUGAUGGUAAAAAUAUCAACAGUACUAGAAGAACUAUAUACUUGUACUCAUGUAAAGACAGAAUUGGAUCGAGUGUAUUGAUAGCUAAUUUUAAAACACUGAUCAGGAGUACAGUUAAAUAUAUUCCAAUAGAUAUUUAUAAUUAAACUAAUAUCAAGAGGACAAAAAAACAAAAGGAAAAAGAGAGAAAUAUACAAUUUAACUUCCUAUCAUCUUUUUGUAAAAGUUUUUUAAAUAGAUGUUCAACACACUUCCUAGGUCAGAAGGGGUCCAUGCCCCUACCAGUCUCCAGUGCCACAAUGUUCAGUGCCCAUGUUUUUCAGUAGCCUAUCAUGAGAAUCUACACGUGAAUUUAUGGAAUUUUUCCAUUCUUUCCCAUACUCAUUUUGUGUUCAAACCCUGUACGUAUGUGACAUGUAUUGAGGGCAUACUUGAAGUCAAGCAACAGAAAUCUCCUCCACACCGCUGAGAUCCUCAACAAACUGUGCUUUUGUUUCCAAAUCAAUGAACUGGUUGGACUUACUAGCUAAGUGCGAUAUGCUAACUCUUCCCUGGCGCUUAAUGUAGUCGGCUACAGCUUUCAUCUCUUCCUGUGAGAUGUAUAUGUAUUUUCCUCUAUCAUCCAUGACACCAGAAAGUCGCCCUAUUCAAAGAGCAAAUUCACAGUUAAAUUCCUUAGCAAGCAUUUUACAGAACAUAGCUCCAUAUCAUAAACCACAAAUAGAAUGAAAGAACCAUUCAAGUUUAUCUAUGACGAGGUAAAAACAUAAUCAAAAUUACCAAGGAUCAGAGACAAAACCUAAACUAAGGUCAACCAGAAGGAAAUACAAUGACAUUCCAUUAAUCAGGAAGGGCUGCUAAUGGUUUCAAGGAUAAGAAACUCUAAAGCAAAAAAUAUAUAUCGACAUAAGACAACUUAGAAAAAUUGAAAGUUGAGAGCUUAAAUACAAAAGUUGCAGCAAUGAGCCAUCAUUUAGAUUUUUUUUUUUUUUGUGGUUUGAGAAGAGCCAUCAUUUAGUUAAAACAACAUAUUCAUUAAAAUAAAUAAAUAAAUAAAAUACAAGAAAUGGAAGAACACAUACCCAUAUUUUCAAGAGAGGUAAUCCGAUUGAUACACUCCUGCAUGGACCAAAAGUUAUAACACAACAUUAGGAAGCAAUAUAUUGUACAAAACUAUGAAACUAUGACAUGAUUAACCACAGUGCAUAAACACUAUUUGACUGAGAGAUGUGUUCAUAGAACAGAUACUACAAAAACAUCAGCUUCUUAAUCUCAUUGAUCAAAAUAACAAAUAAAGAUCUAUAUGCACAUUGGUAGUCAUGAUUUAAGAAUACUCCUUCACUGCAACCAGCUGGGGAGAUAAGAGGGAAAUAUUUUGUUUACGCAGAAAAAAUAUAACAAACAAAAUAAAACAGCUCUACCAGCAAGCAUUUACCUGGGUCCGCAACUUAAAUUCUGCAGCAAGAUCUUCUAAAGGAAUACAUUUGUGUUUCUGCAAGAUCAUAUUAGGAAUAAAAACAAUUAGCACCAAAACCUGUACCCAGAAGCAAGAAGCUUCAGUGCCAAGCAACUGUGACUUACAUAUGCUUGCAAGAUUACUCCUAAAGCAUUACCAAGUACUUCCUAAAAUACUGUUCAUCUCAAACGUUCCAAUUUACCACAAAGCAAAUAAAUUGACAAUUAAAUCUUAUUGGAAUAGCAAUUGCAAUUUCUCCCACUCACUAAGUACAGUCAAAACACUAUUUUUCAAAGGUAAAUCUCCCCGAUGAUAAGUAGAGAGCUGGGUAGUACCUUUAUAUACUCCACGAAGUCAGCCAGCAAGUCCCGAUCUCCAUCUUGCACUUCAUUUUCUGUAGUUCCUUCAGCAUCAAUUGAAAAUUCCCCUUUCCACUUCUCAAACUCAAACGCAGCUGCUUCCUCCUCCCUUGCUUUCUGAGCUUUAGCUUCUUCUUCCUUUUAAGUCAUGGCAAGGAUUUUUAGCCAGAAAAUUACUACAAAAACACAACAGACAUACAAAAUAAAGCACCACCAAAAGAAAAGUGAUCAACUCACCAGUGCACUCUCCCGUGCUUCACGCUCCUCAUCCUUCCUCCUCCGCAUUUCUGCAUAACGGUCUUGUUUUGACUGCCUAGACUCACGAGCAGCUUCAUCCGCCUUCAAAUCAAACAUAUCAAAAAGCAAUGGAAAAGAAAGAAGAAACAGAAACGAUGUGCAUAGACAGACCAAAAUAAGCGGUAAAGAGUUUGCUCUAGUAUCUUUCCUAGUUGAAGAUUCGUAACCUUCUAAUACUCUAUGGAUAUCGAAGAUAUAUGUUUUGAGAAUGACUCUGUUACUAAAAAUGCCCAUUUAAAUGAAACCUUCACUAUUACAUCUAAAGGAAGAAGAAAAGUUUUCUUCAAAAGUUCUAAAUAAUUUUGUUUAGAAUUUCAUUUAACUUUAAAUGACAUUCAUUGAAAGGUGGCCUUACUCAAGACAGAAAAGGGGGAAAAAAAGCAUGAAAAAUAAGAAGAGAUAGAAAAUGUACCUGCCGUGCUGCUUCCUGCUCUUGCCGUCUUUUCUCCUUCUUCUUUGAUGCUUUAGCCUCAUAAUGUCCACCCGCAACACCUUCAUCAUCACUUCCUUCAAUAGUUUCUGUGUUCAGAUGUGUACAACAAUUAGUACAUUCAAUAUAACCAGUUUUCAAGAUUUUUCAGAUUACUCAAAUGUAAUACAUUAUUAUUCCAUCAUGACAAGGCUUAUGAUAGCAUAUGUUCACUAUUCACUCAAAAUUUACAAAGCUAAAAAUCCAAAAACAUCUCAAAUACAGGAUCUCAGAACAAUUCCAAAACAAACCAAAAGGCAAAAAUAUCAUCCACUAUACUUGCUUCCAAAAGCUUUCCAAAUUACCCUAACAGUUAUUAGAAACGCUUCUUUGCAUUUUAAUGUAACCCAUAUUUGGCAGAAACCAAUCCAAAAAUAUAUAUAUACCACAAUAGCUUGAAAACACAAUAGCUUGAAAACACAUGAGCAAGAGAGUGAAAAAAAAUAAUAAUAAUAAUAAUCGUAUAUGCAAAACAGAACACCAAUAACCUUCUACUUCUGCAGCUCCAGCUGAUGAUGUGCUAGCUCCAGCAGCUGGUCUUCGACGCAUCCGACGAGCACCAGUUGCACGUACCAAAUUCUCCCUCUGAUGUACCUGUGGAGCCUGUAAUCGAUACUACACAUUAAGAAACAUAAACCAACUCCAUCGGACAAUGCUCUUAGAACUCAGAACAUAUUCUUGCAAACCAAAACCACAAACAGCAGUAACCAAAACCAUGAACAGCAGUUCAUUAGCUUCAACUUAAAAAAUACAAUAAAAAAUUAAAAUCUGCUUCAAAAUUAAGCAUCAGGACAACAGUUACAAUCAUAACCAGAAAGACACACUUGACUGUCCUCAACAAUGCUUUGAAAAAGCUGUUACUAGAAACAGUCUUUGAAGCUCAAUCUAACAAUUCUAGUUUACAUGCUCGAAUUCGAGUUAAAAUCUUCAAAAAGUUAAUCAAUUAUGUCUUAAUCGUAAAAUUAAAAAGAAAUACAAUCUUACAAACCUCCUGUGGCUGUUCUCGAGAAUCCGAGCGACGUUUCCACAAAUAAAUUGGAAUCAAAGCGAAAAUUAGCAGCAUAGACAGAACCAGAGCAAAAAUUUCCUCCAUCUUUCGAUUUAUUUAGCUGCCACUAAUCACAUUACAGUAACCAAAAGUCAAAUUAUUCAAGUACUCCUCGAAUCAUUAUCCAAUAAGAACGUUAAAUUUUGAAAAUUAGAAUAAUACAAAAUCUAGACUUAUAAGGAACGAUUUUGGAGAAAAAGCAAAGGGUUAGGGUUUGGGUUAAGAGGAAGCAAACCUGGACAGAACGGCGACGUUUUGCUGAUUCUUCAAGGCGCGUGUACGCGUGCAGGAGGUGGUUGUGGUUUUCGUUCCCGGCGUCUUACGGUGAAGGAAAAAGAACGGAGUCCCACUUCUGUCCCCUCUGGCUUUUAUUUUGACCUUUUUUUUUUUAAUUUGGGUAAAUAUAUUUCCUUUUAUAAUUGUUAAAAAAGCGAAUUGCAAUUCAAUAAAUAACUAUAUACACACAGGCAUAGAGGGUGAAUGAACAUAUCAAAGUCGGUAAUAAGUUAUAUAUUAAAAUACAUUAUAUUAAAAUUUAUAUUUUUUCCGUGUUUGCUUUUAACUUCAAAUAUUUUGUGCUACUUUUCGUGCUCAUUAGCUAUUUCUAUACAAACAUCAUUAUACCUGAAACUGACAACCUCAAUAAAUAAAAAGGAGAUAAUUUUUUUCUAAUAAUUUACAAUAAUAAUCCCCUUAGGAUUCUUUUACUAUUUUAAUAUAGUUGUUGGUAAAUAAAAAAAUAAAGAUUUUAAAAAAUAAUAAGAUAAAAUAUAUUAUAUUAAAUUUUUUAUUUUUAAUUUACUUUUAUUUUAAUAAAAUAAUAAAUAUUUAUUAAAACUUUACUUAACGAACUUAAAUAACUUUUACGUACUAAUUCCUGCACUAAAUGAUUACUUUCUUAGGCUAGUAGCCUAAUAGGCACAUUUAUUUACUUGGUUUUGGAUUGUAGGAUUUUUCCUACACAUUAUGAGAUUUUUUCUUUUAAGAAAAAAAAAAUUAGAAGCACAUAUCAGGAUACAUUGAGAUAGGUCCUAAUAUGUAAUUAAGGAUACGAUAACCAACGGUUAUUAGGCACCAAGGUCACGAGUUAUCUUAUUUCUCUCUAUAUUAAAGAUUAAUCUGACACACACACCACCUAUUACAGCAAUAGAGCCCACAUCCUCUUAUUGAUAUGUUGGAACGUUGCAUAUUCCAACUCUCAAAUUAGAGUUUUAACACGACAAAAUAGUUUUCAAAACAUUACGGGAUUUCAGUAAUCUACAUUUAUUUCCCUUGUGACAAGAAAUUCUACCCAGUUUUAGGAGCCUGAUUCGGUAUCUCAGGCAUUAUGCUGGGAAAUUGAACGAGCUAUUGAUCUCGGCUUUUCAACAGCCUAACAUGGACUGAAACUGGGGUUCUUAUAUGUACACCAUUCAAUCACUUAAUUUUCACCAUAAAAGGUCCUUACGUAAUUUCUCAAUUACAGCUUAUUACUCCGAUCAUCACAAGAUCAUAUCGAAGUUAAUACUUGCCCUAGCAACAAAAACAGAGUAAGCUCAGAUCUUCAUCAUUGAUCUUAAUCACAUCAGCACUUUCCCAUUGGCUGAUGCCUCAAGUUAUAAACAUACAAAGCAAAGAAAAGGGAACAGCCCAAGGGCAGUCUUACACAUAACACAGAUAACAAGGACUAGAUACGCAACUGCAAAUUCACCUCCGAAAAACUCACAACGGUUUCUUACAAGAGGAGAAAGAAAUUAAAAUUAAAGGUUCCAUGAUGGACCGGAAACAAACACUUUAUUCACAAAACCUCACAACAUUAUCUCAUUAUUCGCAUCAACCAUCCAUCACAACCACCUAAAUACAACUACUUUUUUGCCAGAGUUUAUUUGCAUGCACACAGCUGAUGAGUGAUGAUGCCUGUUAUUACCAAAUUAAGCAUCAGCAGUCUCAGCAGAAUCAGCUGCAGCUAAGAUCAGCUCAGGGUGAACGCCUCCCACAUAUGUACCGUCUAAUGCAUUCGGCUGGCCCAGUGACUUCAACGCCAAAUGCGCAGCCUUCUGCCCCGAUAUCAUCAUUGCUCCAAAUGUUGGCCCCUGCAUUCAGAUUCUUACGUUUGUUACUUAUUUGUACACAUUAUCAAACAUUAUAUCAAGAAACCGUUUUAAGAUUGAAGAGCAGCAACUUUCUUAAUCUAAGGCUGCUAAGAAACAGAGUCGUAAGCAUAUGUA
rnacentral:lncRNA from 1 species